rnacentral:rRNA from 1 species
CUCGACAACGGAUAUCUCGGCUCUCGCAUCGAUGAAGAGCGUAGUGAAAAGCGAUACUUGGUGUGAAUUGUAGAAUCCUAUGAACCAUCGAGUUUUUGAAUGCAAGUUGCACCCAAAGCCUUCUGGCCGAGGGCACCGUCUUCUUUGAGCGUCACG